rnacentral:tRNA from 1 species
GGAGGGUACAGCUCAAGUGGUAGAGCAUAUGCUUAGCAUGCAUGAGGUCCUGGGUUCAAGUCCCAGGACCUCCC